rnacentral:rRNA from 1 species
AACGAACGCUGGCGGCAGGCUUAACACAUGCAAGUCGAGCGCAUCCUUCGGGGCGAGCGGCAGACGGGUGAGUAACGCGUGGGAACGUACCCUUUCCUACGGAAUAGCUCCGGGAAACUGGAAUUAAUACCGUAUACACCCUUAGGGGGAAAGAUUUAUCGGGGAAGGAUCGGCCCGCGUUGGAUUAGCUAGUUGGUGGGGUAAAGGCCUACCAAGGCGACGAUCCACAGCUGGUCUGAGAGGAUGAUCAGCCACAUUGGGACUGAGACACGGCCCAAACUCCUACGGGAGGCAGCAGUGGGGAAUAUUGGACAAUGGGCGCAAGCCUGAUCCAGCCAUGCCGCGUGAGUGAUGAAGGCCUUAGGGUUGUAAAGCUCUUUCAGUAGGGAAGAUAAUGACGGUACCUACAGAAGAAGCCCCGGCUAACUUCGUGCCAGCCGCCGCCGUAA